rnacentral:rRNA from 1 species
UGGCGGCACUAGCGCGGUGGUCCCACCUGACCCCAUGCCGAACUCAGAAGUGAAACGUCGUAGCGCCGAUGGUAGUGUGGGGUCUCCCCAUGUGAGAGUAGGGAACUGCCAGGCA